CAUGGUUGGUAGGGAGAGGACAGGGUUAGCCCACACUGAUGGCCAGCCUGCCACCCCCUAGGCCUGAGCAGGAGGAGGGAGGUGGUCACACCCCACCCCUGCCCUGGCUUUGGUGGUGGUAGUGAGCAGUCCCUUCCCCUUUGGAGUCACCAGCCCCUUCCCCUUUCCCCAGGGCUCAGGCCCUGGCCCUUUGCAGGUGGGGCCCAAGGCCAACGCCUCCAUUCCCAGUGCCAGUUCCCACAGCUCCAGGAUGGCCAGGCCCCGCUGGGACUUUCCCUGAGGCUCCAUCUCCUGAAAGUGAGGAAGCGCCCAGGAAGCUGGCAGCACUGCUCCCCACGGUGGGGCAGGGCCAGGCCACUUGCAACACACCUGGGGGUGGGGGAAAGGUGCCGCGAGACUUCUGGUUCCUGCCCCACCCGGCGAGCUGCCGGGACCACAGGGACAGAUGUACACAUGCACACUGAGUCACCACCCCUCCCUCGCCUCUUGCAGCGUGGGUGGGGGCGGGGGAAGCACCGGCUGGGCUGACCGAGGAGAAACCAGAUUGUUCCGGAUUAAAGUUCAGUCCUCACAUACACCUCAGGGACUGGGGCCUGAGAAAGGCAAAGGGGAAGGAGCUGGCGACUCCAGCCUUCAGCAUGGGACAGAAAGCGCCGGAGUGAAGCAGGUUCCCCAGGAGCCUUUCAGUCUGAAAGUGAAAGGAUACUGCUUUUCCUCCCAAGAUGGCAAUUCCCCCAAAUGCCUCUUCACCCCAAGGCAGAAAGACCAUCAGGAAGAUGCUAGGGGACUCUUAGCAAGGACAGCUGAGUAAGGCAUGGGCCCUGCCUUGGUCUCAGACGAGGCCGCGCCCCACCCACAGGUGGCUGCACCCAGAAGGAAGCCUGGCGGGGCUCCUGGGCUGCCGCAGCUCUCCGUUCCUCUAUCGGAAAAUGGGCCCAGCAGUCUGCAGCUUCCUUAAGAGGGGUCAGUCAGUGGGACAGCUUUCCUGGUGGCUUCAGGCCAAAGAUGGCCCUGCAAAGUAGGGGUUCCAACUGGAUUUCCUGAGGGAUGGGGGACUGGGGCUUGGGGCUCCCAGGUAACACUAGGUGUCAUGGAAGAGCUCCUAGGACCAGCAGCCCCAUGUCUCACUGCCCCCUCAGUGAACAGCUUAGACUCUCACAUUUGGCAAAUAAAACAGAAUAAAUGUUACGCAAAAGAGGCAAGUCCAGGGCCAACCACAUCCUGUGGGUGUCUUUAAUGGGAGUGGGGGAGGUAAGGGGUGAUAGCUGGAGCCCUAAGAGAAGCUAGGGAGGGAGGUGGGGCAGCUGGGGGCCAUGGAGGCUGUUUGGGGGCAAGACUGGGGCACCAGGGUCUGAAGGUCUCUAAAUUGUAGGGGAGACAAGGUCCAGCCCAGGGCAGCACUCAUCCUUCCCGGUCCCCCUGCCACAUCUGCCAGCCUGCUUAUAAUAAAAGUUCCCAUUUGCUGAGAGCUGUGAACCAGGCCCUGUUAUAAGUGUCUAACACUGAAUCAUCAGCAAGCUUGUGAGGAGGGCACUAUAACAUCAUCAACUCCUUCCCUGUUUUUCAGAUGAAAACUGUGGUCCAGAGAAGGCAGCUUAGUCACCAGGGUCACACAGCAGUUAACGGUGGAACAGCGACACAAGCCCAGGGCCUAUGCUUAUCACCACCCUGUACGUCAAUGCUCAGGCAGGUACGAAGGCAGGCACAGACCCUGAUCGCAGGGAAUGAGCAGGGAUUCGCAGGCACCGAGCUCCCGCUGGUGGCCAGAUAUAUGGCUUCAUUCUUACAGGGCUUGCUACCGUGAAGGAAAGGAAGGUCACCUGGCUAGUGGUAAGAGACAGUCAGAACUCGAACCCAGGUCUGGGCCACUCGGUUGCCUUCCUGUCUCUAACAGAAGAUCCAGAAUUUAUUUGGGAGAACAAAGCUCCCAAAAUUGAGUUUGAACAAAGUGUGUUAUGAGAGACAGGUGGCGAAUGGGAGAAACAAUGCUGCUGGAAAACUCCUGCUCUUCCUUCAGAACCCUUGUGAGAUGUCACUGCCUCUGAGAAGCCUUCCCUGACCUGCCACAAUAGGUCAGGUCCCUGGUCUGUGUCUUCACAAUGCCCAGUGCUUCCCCCAUCACAUCACCCCCCUUCCUUGGGCCUUCUGGCCUGCCUCUCAAAACCAUGGCAGCUGGGUCAUCCCAGGCCUGGCUCCUUGUCUCAGGUAUGCAGUGUGCGCAUGUAUCCGCCCACCCGCCUCCCUCCGGGCACAUGAUCCUAGGCUAGUAUCUUGGAGCACUGGGAACUAAUGGGAUGCCAGGGCUCUCAGGGCAGUGCGCUGCCUGUGGGCACUGAAAAUCUUGGCUGGGGACAAGUCGGUUCUCAGCAGCCCUAGCACCUGAAUAUUCCCUCAGCAGAUGGAAAAACUGAUCAGUGGGCGCUAUCAGAGCCCUCCUCCUGGUAGAGCACAUGAGGCCUGGAGUGCCCCCCUACAGCUAGCUUUAGUCUCUUUCACUGCACUGGAGGAAGGGCUGCUGGCACAGGAAAACCAGACAUCCCUGCCCCCAUUCCAGUUCUCUUUGCCUGUAAGGUCAGGGUCCCCCAGCCGGGCUAAGCAGACACUGAUAGGAUGUGUGUGUAGAAGACUCCAGCUAGGCUGCUCCUGCCCCAGGACAGAAGGCAGGGCUGGGCCAGCCUCCCCAGGUGAAAAGAUAUGCCUGGGCUGGGCCUGGGGAGUGGAAAAAAAUUCCCUUAGAAGGAAACAGAGGUGAAUUUCCCCAUGAUUUGCAUAUGAUGGGGGGGCUAGCCCGCCUGCCCCUGGGGAGGGUGGGUGGCCAGGCAGGAACCGAGUAGCAGCUGAGACAGGAAGUUUGAGGCUGGAAUUCCCCUCCUGCCACUACCCCAGCUCAGAAACCCCCGAGGUGGGUGCGUGGCUCUGCUUCUCAGGAACAGGCUCCUCUGAGCACCCCUCAUCACAGCCCCUCCUCCCAUGUCCCUCCUUCUUCUGGAUACAAACACAUACUGCACAUGGCUGCUCCCAGAGCUCAGCCGCUCCUGGCCCAUACCUCCAGAGGAAGGAGUCACACAGAUCCAACCUAGCUCCUAGCCCAGCUACAUGAGGCUGGACACUGAGAGGGACCCCCUCUAAUCUCGAAGCACGGGAUGUGACCUGCUGCCUUUUGGCAUGGAAACUGGAUUUUCUCAGCCUCCCAUCCAGGCUCAGCCCAAGUCAGAGAGAGGAAGACUGGCCUGAAGGUGACAGAAGGAGGGAAGAGCACUCAGCUGCAUGCCUGCUGAGCUGGGCCAGGGCCAGCUGGACAGUGAACUUGUCCCACAGGGGCCACAAAUUAGGGAGGGCAGAGGCUGAUGUCAUGCCAGCUGUGGGCAGCCCACCUAGGAGCUCCCUCAGGGCAGCCAGAAAAUCAUCCCUUCUCAACCCUGUGUCUGGGGUCUCCCCGUCCAUGCCAACAGGAACUUUUCCCUGUGAGCCAUCCACCCAGCACUGACUCAUCAGCCUGCCUUGGAGGGAAGUGGGAAAAAAGUGGGGCCAGAGGGUGGAGCCUGGAUUGACGGGAGAAGUCUGGGUUUCCCAAGGUCAGCAGCAGCCCUGGCUUCCCUCUCUGCCCCUACCCCCCCACCCCAUUCCUGUGCUGGGGGAUGGGGGUGGGAGUCACUGGGGGCUGAGUCCUGGCUCUGGCCCCGGGGAACCUCCAGAGACUGGUCCAGCCCAGGCUGCUUCAGCUGAGUCAGUAGGGAUCCAAGUUGCAGCUCGCCUGAGGCCAGAGCAUCAGGCCACCUGCCCACAACCCAUGUAAAGCUGGACCCAGCCUUGAGGUCACUCUUGGACACAGUCACUGGACCUGUUUUCGUGGGAGCCCAGGUCUGAGACAAGAAGGCCUCAGAAGCCCAGCCCCUGAAAUAACAACAACAACAACUGCUACUACCACUGCCUACUACCACUACUAUGGUUCCUGAACGCUUGCUCCUCUCCGGGAUCCGCACACUCCCUCCUCACAACACCCACCUGAGAUCAGGUUCCGAGGGGUGAGUGAGCAGCUGCCCACGGGCUGGUCCCCUUUACAGCCCUGCCUCACAUUACAGGAGAGGAGUGGAGACACAGUGCUGGCCUCAGGGAGGGACCCACAGCAUAAGACCAGUCCCUAAGAAGGAAGUCACUUCUUCCAGCCCACCAGAGCUGCAGAGACAGUCAUCCUUCCAUGUGUCCUGGCCACAGGAGAGAUGCGAACCUAAUGUGUCCUGGCCACAGAAGUGACACUUACCUCAUGGCCACGUUGCUCCCAUCGAUGACCACUGGUCUCAGGUCGCUGCCCUCCUUUUCCUCUUCUGGGAGUGGAGGCUCCAGGUUGGGAGCCUUAGGGGUGCCACCACCCCGUGGGACUAGAGGGAGCUGAGGGCAGGGGUCCGGUGAGGUCUGGUGCUCCCGCUCGGUGGCUGUCCCGUGUUUCACCAGCUCGCCCAGCACCGUGUUGGUGUCUGCCUGGACGCCCAGCUUCUGCAGGACGCUGUGGAUCUCCGUGGAUGAAUAGCCCAGCUUCCGGAAGAAGUCCACCUUCAUCUGCAGUUCCAGGGCCGAGGCCUCCUCAGCGGCCGGCUCUUGACCCGGCCUGGGGGUGCCCUGACGGCUGUGGCUGUCCUCAAAUUCCCACAGACUCAUGGUGGGGCUGGCUUCCAGGACAGGCUUCUCUCCACAGGGGCCACUCAUAGCUCAGACUCCUGGAAGGCACCGCGCCACAGCUCCUACUGAACAACCAACAGGGUUAGGGACGGUGAAUAGCGCUCUCUCCUAACCUCCCUCCCAAAACCACACCCAGCAGGAUGAGGGAUUGGUGGCACUACACACUACAUCGUGUUAUUAGUUCAGGUUGUCCUCUCAAAAGCUCUCCCAGCUAGGCAUUCCCAUUCCCAUUCUAUAAAGGGAGAAACUGAGGCACAGACAUUAAAAACUUGCUCAAGGUCAUCCAGCUGUUAGCUGGUGGCUCGAAGAUCGGAACUUAGUCUGAACUAAGACUGGAACUGCCCCAGCUGUAAAGCCUCGAACCCCCACGCCAACCCAGGGGACCCAGAAGGCAGGGACGGGGCUCUCAGAUGGAAUCCUGGGGCUGGAAGUGCGUUGCGGGGCCCAAGGCUUCCCCACUGAGGCCAUCACUUUCGCCCACCCGUCCGGCACUCAGAGCUCAGGCCCAGGCAGCGCAAGGCCCAUGGCCGGACUCCCGGAGCCGGGGAGGGCAAGUUUCCG
rnacentral:lncRNA from 1 species